AAUGCUGAUCGAUCUCACCAGCAGAGUGACGUGUGGAAACAGGAGCUGAAGGAGGAACUCCUUGAGGAGCCCAGGGACGAGAGGUAAAGGUUCCAGCAAAAAGUGAGGGUGAUCGAGGGUCGCGCUCAAGCAGGACCAGCAGGGAGAGACUACUGCGCCCUGGUGGAGGCCCUGGAGGAGGCCCUGGAGGAGCUCAACACUGUUUCAGUGGGCUGCACCCUGGCUGUUGUCAGAAAUGAUUCUGAGACGGGCAAUAAAGAGAGCUGUGCAGCUGAAGCGGGGAUCGGAGCCGGACAGAUCAGGUGUGAGAACGGCAGGGCGACAAUGCUGGCGGAUUGAUGGCUGCAGAGGUUCGUCCAACCGGUCGCUGUCAAG